AAAGAAGCUAGGAAAAAGAGAGAUGAACAACUAUUGGAUCCCAAGGGGAGAAUUCAAGAGAUAAGUGAUAGCAUAAUAUGAAACAACAUUAGAUGAACUGGGAUCCCAGAAGAAGAAAGAGAGAGGGGGAAAGCAGA